CUGAGAGGUUGUUGAUGAUGUCUGGGAGGUGGGUGAUGAUGUCCGGGAGGUGGGUGAAGACAUCAUCACCCACCUUCCAGACAUCAUUACCCACCUCCCAGACAUCAUCAACCAGG
rnacentral:miRNA from 1 species